ensembl:processed_transcript Gm44579 predicted gene 44579
GAGAGAGGAGGAAGAGCAGGGAGGAGAGGAGCCCAGGCCCACAGCCCUAUAAAUGCACAGCUCAUCUGCAGCAAAUACCCUGCACCCUCACCCUGAACCUCUGGAUCACUCUUCUGCAUCCAAGACCAGCACAAUGCCCUCAUCAGCCUGUCCCAAACCCCACGGUCAAGAGUGGCCCACCAGCUCAGACCAUCCUCCCUGGAGCAGCUCUUCCUCAAACAACAUGCCAUCUCUGUUUCUCGGGACAGCGAUUCAGUGACACGGCCUGAGCAGCAAAGCCACGGGAUGAGGUCCCAGACAGCAGACCCGAAGAACAGCAGCAGCACUGUGACUGAGUUCAUCCUCGUGGGCUUUGAGCAGAGCUCCCCUUCCACACGGGCAUUGCUCUUCACCCUCUUCCUGGCUCUCUACNNNNNNNNNNNNNNNNNNNNNNNNNNNNNNNNNNNNNNCCUGGAUCUUUGGGAUGGUCAAUGGUAUCUUUCUUGAGUAUAUAUCAUUCAGGAAUCCCUUCUGCAAAGACAACCACAUAGAGAACUUCUUCUGUGAGGCUCCCAUAGUGAUCGCUCUCUCCUGCGGGGACCUCAAGUUCACCAUGAAGUUGAUCUUUGUGGAUGCCAUUGUGGUGUUGCUCAGUCCCAUGGUGCUCAUCAUCACCUCCUAUGCCCGCAUCCUGGCCUCCAUCCUCCACAGGGCCUCCUCCUCAAGCCAUAGGAAGACCUUUUCUACUUGUGCCUCCCACCUGACUGUGGUCAUCUUUUUGUACACUUCAGCCAUGUUUUCUUACAUGAAUCCCCGCAGUACACAUGGGCCUGACAAAGACAAGUCUUUCUCCCUCCUCUAUACCAUCAUCAUGCCCAUGUGCAACCCGGUCAUCUACAGCUUCCGCAACAAGGAAAUGAAGGGGGCCAUGGGGCGGGCUCUUGGGAGAGGCAGCCUGGCUUAGGCAGGAUCUGCCCAGAAGGAGGGUGUCUGGAGAAGUUUCCUCAGUAGGGAGAAGGUUGCUUUUCUCAGCACCUCGCUUUUCAAUUCUGGGGAAGCUCUAAAAAGGAGCCUUGCCACUAGACUCAGACCUAGAAGUUCUUCCUGAUGUCUCAGGCUCAUUUCUGACUUUAUUUCCAGAAUUGUUUUUCCCAUGAAUUUUCUUUAAGGAGACGUGAGGCUUUCCUGACUAGUUCCUCUGUGUUCCGCAAGAGUCAAUGAGUAUUUAACUCUAUCUUGUCUGUAUAGUUCUUUUACAUGCCAUCCCCUGGGGGAACUUUUUGCACAUACAUUUAGGAAUAAGUGACUUUUCAAUCUUUUAAUAUGCCAUAUUAGACUUGGUAUUGGAAACAAAGCAGACAUGUAGAUUACUGGAAUUGAUUAGAGGGUAGAAUUCUAUGUAACUUUAGCCAUCUGAGUUUUGACAGAUGCCUUGGUAGUGCAUGUCACCAACUACACAGGAUCUACAGGUGCCUGGGAAGCAAGCCUCCAUACUUCUGAGGGAUUAUUUAACCUCUGAUCAGGCCCAUGAAGAAUUAUGUUGAUUAAGUGAACUGAGGUUGGGAAAUCCACACUACAAGUAGGCAGGACCAUUCCUGGUUCCGUAUAAAACCCAGCAAGCUAGCAGAGUAAGGUCAGUCAUCCACUGUUUCCCGUGUAUAGAUACAACGUGAUCAGUCAUCCACUGUUUCCUGUGUGUAGAUACAUGAUCCUGCCACUUUAUCUUCCCUGCCAGAAUGGACAGUUUGCUCUUCAACUAUAAACUGCAAUAAACUCCUUUUCUUUU